AGCGAACGCUGGCGGCAGGCCUAACACAUGCAAGUCGAACGAACUCUUCGGAGUUAGUGGCGGACGGGUGAGUAACACGUGGGAACGUGCCUUUUGGUUCGGAAUAACUCAGGGAAACUUGUGCUAAUACCGAAUGUGCCCUUCGGGGGAAAGAUUUAUCGCCAUUAGAGCGGCCCGCGUCUGAUUAGCUAGUUGGUGAGGUAACGGCUCACCAAGGCGACGAUCAGUAGCUGGUCUGAGAGGAUGACCAGCCACACUGGGACUGUGACACGGCCCAGACUCCUACGGGAGGCAGCAGUGGGGAAUCUUGCGCAAUGGGCGAAAGCCUGACGCAGCCAUGCCGCGUGAAUGAUGAAGGUCUUAGGAUUGUAAAAUUCUUUCACCGGGGACGAUAAUGACGGUACCCGGAGAAGAAGCCCCGGCUAACUUCGUG
rnacentral:rRNA from 1 species